GUCGAUAUACUUACAAUCGAUUAAUAUGGUCUGCAGACAUAAGUCCUAUCGGCAAAAGUAAUCUAGCAGCAGAUAGCCGCUUAUAUCACAUAAAAACUAGAACCUUUGACUGAAGAUUUAGCACAACGUAUUAAUCGUAUGGUACUAUACCGUAUCGACAAUGAAAAGGGUAGCUUUUAACGUGAUUUUACUGUUUCUUAUAAUUAUUAUUGUUAAUCCUGGAGAUUCCUUUUUUGAAUACGGAGCUCAUAAAAUGGGAGAGAUUGAGACAUUAAGAUACCAUGGUAAAAUACCAGCAUUCCGUUCUCAAUUUACGGUGAAUGUUACACAUGACCGCACCGAUGCUGAACCCAGCUACACUUAUUUAAGCGUCGUGACCGAGGGACAUGUUGUUAUCAGUUAUCCCAUCGUCGUUUUUGAUCCACACACAAACGUUUUGACAUUACAUAUCAAAUUCCCUGUAUUUCCGAUGCGGUUCUUUGCAAACGGCUUUUCUAUGCCAUUAAAAUCAGGACACCGGAUGUCCCCUACAAUAGAAGAAAAUGAAUCUCAAGAACUUUUUACUGAUGUUCCACACUUUUGCGUGGUGUGCCCUCAAUGUUGUGUGAAUUAUAAUUUAAAUUACACCCUCAACCAAACCUAUGUAACACGACCUGCAAACUUACCAUGGAUGCAAUAAAUAUAUGAUCUACUUAUAUAUGAAUUAUGAACCUAAGUAUUACCUUGUUCAAAUAUUUAUAUUAUAAAAUAAUCAUCAUUUACUUUUUUUCUGUACGUGUUACCUAUGUAAAAAUUGAAAAUUUCUAAUAAAGGGAAAUCUUAUAUACUCACACUGUUUUUAUUAAGUAUAUAAA